rnacentral:lncRNA from 1 species
GCACUACAGUUAUAAAUGUAGCAUUGUACAUGUUGUGUGUUAUUAAUUAAGUGGAAGAAUAGAGUUGGGUUCAAAAGUACAGAAGGUAGUUAAUGUUUAAUGUAAUGGUAAAUGUUGUAAAGUGAUAUUAUAGAAAUAUUAAAACAGUGGUUUUAGACAUCAGUAGUUUAAGUAUGCAAAGUUCUCUAAGAUUUCUGACUUAUUUUCCUCUUAUACAGUGUAAGCUUGGGGAAACUCUAAAGAGACGCUACAUGACUAAAUGACACUUGCUUCAGAAGAAAA